UCUUCCAGGAGCGCGAGACUGAAGCCAUAGCAAACAUGGCACCCGGCACGACUCCUGUAACGGAGUCAGAGGAAGAUCUUAAAACCUUUAAAUCUAAAGGAGCUCCGAUAUCUUUACCGAAACAUUCCUACUGGUUUGACUUCUGGGCUUUCGUGGUCUUUGAUUUCGUGUUAUUCCUCGUCGUGUAUUUCUUAGUCCCAUAAAAGGUUGGUUCCAGGACUUUGGAGCUUGAAGAUGCAGAGUGCUCGCCCUGCCCUUGGAAAUGCUAACCCUGCUUUGAAUCUAACACCAUGUGAUUGGAUGUCAUACAUCAUUUGGCUGCAUAACAAACAUCUGAACUACAGAACUGCUGUGACUGGACUAUCCUCCUUAAUGCAUGGAAUCGGUUUUUCUGUGGGGGCGAGAAACAUUUGAAGUGCUGUAUUGUUGAAAAGUUACAAUGAUGUCAUCAGGACUUAUAAAAUGCUUUGACCAGAAAAUUACUAAGACACUUUAAGUGUUGUCACUGUCAGUUGUUAAGUAGUUUUAUUAACCCGUGUUUUAUUAAUAAUGUUUAAUUUUCUGGCUUCUUCCUAGUGUUUUGGUUUUGUUUCCAUGUUUUCCUGAUCAUCACCUGUAAAUAAAUCUGACAUCUCCAAAUGAAUGUAUUGUCAUAUCAAGCUAUGCGAUCAAUUGGUGUGGGACCCAUAUGGACACCAGAAGAUUAGCGUCCACCUUCACUCGUGAAAGAACAAUGCUGUGUUGGGAGAAAUACUAGAAUGCCGAAGUCAUGGAAAUUUGCACAUGGAAAACACUGCAAAUAAAGUUUUUUGUCUACUUGGUAAA